rnacentral:rRNA from 1 species
GACGUAGGGAGCAAGCGUUGUCCGGAAUCAUUGGGCGUAAAGCGCGCGUAGGUGGCUUCAUAAGUCCGUUGUGAAAGUCAAAGGCUCAACCUUUGAAAGCCGAUGGAUACUGUGAAGCUAGAGUACGGAAGAGGCGAGUGGAAUUCCUGGUGUAGCGGUGGAAUGCGCAGAUAUCAGGAGGAACACCAAUAGCGAAGGCAGCUCGCUGGGACGUUACUGACACUGAGGCGCGAAAGCGUGGGGAGCGAACAGG